rnacentral:rRNA from 1 species
GAUGAACGCUGGCGGCGUGCCUAAUACAUGCAAGUCGAGCGAACAGACGAGGAGCUUGCUCCUCUGACGUUAGCGGCGGACGGGUGAGUAACACGUGGAUAACCUACCUAUAAGACUGGGAUAACUUCGGGAAACCGGAGCUAAUACCGGAUAAUAUAUUGAACCGCAUGGUUCAAUAGUGAAAGACGGUUUUGCUGUCACUUAUAGAUGGAUCCGCGCCGCAUUAGCUAGUUGGUAAGGUAACGGCUUACCAAGGCAACGAUGCGUAGCCGACCUGAGAGAGGGAUCGGCCACACUGGAACGGAGACACGGUCCAGACUCCUACGGGAGGCAGCAGUAGGGAAUCGUCCGCAAUGGGCGAAAGCCUGACGGAGCAACGCCGCGUGAGUGAUGAAGGUCUUCGGAUCGUAAAACUCUGUUAUUAGGGAAGAACAAAUGUGUAAGUAACUAUGCACGUCUUGACGGUACCUAAUCAGAAAGCCACGGCUAACUACGUG